GCCAGCCAGGACUCGUAUUAAACCGCUCCAUAGUCCACACUACCGCAUACAUAUCUAACCUUCUAAGCGCGCGCUAGCUACCAUUCGUCGUCGUCUUCCAUGGCCGCCGUGCUUCGCCUGCAGAUCUGCCGGCCGCCGCGCCACCAUGAUUAGCUGCUUGCCCGUGUCGCGCUCCGGCCCGCUCGGCGCCGCCCACAUAUGGUACCAUGGUGGCAUCAUAGACAGUGUAGGUCAGCUUCAAGGAGACAUGCUACGUACAAGUAUUUUUACCUGAUCACAUUCGAUAAACCGGCCAAUGCAUAAUUACACAAGGUUUAGGGCGAUCAUCUAUGAUCAUAUAUUAAUUGAUGGAGCUUUUAGCAAACAGAGAUCGCCCACCAGUAAGUAUUUGCAGGUUAGCAAUAUAUUAUAUUAUAUUGGUAAUGUAACAUAAUUAACUGAGCUAUAUAUAUGAGUUUUUUUUCUUAUCUCGUUCUUUUCAUUUAGUCCCAUAGUUUUACAGAUUGCUAAGUAGUAACCAUUUUUCAGCAUGCAAACUAUGACUAUAUACUACAUAUUUAUGGUACUAGUAGUUGAACCUACCUAGUUGUCAGGUUGCACUAAUAUCUGAACAUGUUAAUAUCAGUAAUAUAGGACCUUGAACCUGAUGUAUUUUAACAGGAUAGGGUACAUCCAAUUCUUUAUUAUAGGAGUAUGCUUCUUAAAUUCUCUCUGCUACCUGCUUCAAUUCCUUGCUGACAGUGCCAUGCAUGGUCUUUGUUCUGCAUGCAUGCUCCUCCUCAGCUCCUCUCGUUUGUGCAUGUGAUUAUGAGAGUGAGCUUAUGUUAAUAUGGGUAGCGCUAGCUUGUAGCUUUGGAUCCAUUAUAACGAAUGACCUGGAGCAGGCCACUAAUUAAUGCCCCGGCCGUCAGCUAAAAAUUGUGCUUUUAGCCAAGAUGUCCAACUACUAAUUAUGAGAGGAUAUAUUAUUAAUUAAGCUAGACAUCUCAUUCGCAUUUCCUAAACCGAUUGGUCUUUUUUUCUUGUGCCUUUUACUUUUCAUUUUUGACAGAUUGAUGGAGCCAAUCAUGUCCAUGAUGAUGUGUGCUGCCAUUGCAUAUACGAGUGGGCGCUGCUAGCAUGCAGACAAGAAAGUACAAUUAAAUAGCACUCGCAUUUCUCACUACUCUUACCGAUGGAAACGACGACCAGCGCACUGCUCCUGCCUCAUCGGUCAUCACUCCACCGGUCCACCCCCGCGUACCGCGUCCCCCCCCCCUCCUCCUCUAUUAUUCCCCCUUCUCGAGCAACAUCUUCUCUUCUCUUCUUCUGUUGCUGCUGAUCGCCUCCUGCUCCCCCCUGCAAGCAAGGCUCCACCUUCUCUUCCUCCUCCUUCGAUCUUCUUCUUCUUCUAUCUGCUGCUGCUCCUCCUCCUCCGAUCCAUUUCCUCUCAUCCCCUUACGUCUCGCCCACCCUUUCUUACCAAAUCAAUCAAUUCUCAGACGAUGCCGGACUUGGAAGUGGGGAUUGAGGAGGUGGUGGAUACCCCUGCAGUACAAGCUCCAGAGGUGGCUGAAGAUUCGCGAGUUCACCAGGUUGAAGGGGGCACAGUAGCUAGCAACAUGAACCCGGGCCAGAAGAUGUGGCUCGCGUACUGGCUCUUGGGGGCUGCUGCUUCUGUGAUCUUUCUGAACAACCAUAUCGACGCUGCCACUAAGGACCAACUGUUCCCUCCAGAGCUUUCCAUGUUCGUUGUGUUCCUGUGUGCAAUCUGCCUCAUUCUUCGCGCCAUGAAGCAGCAUAGAUGAUGGGAGAGUACAUCGAUUGCGUCCAUGCCUUACCAUCCAGAGACCCAAUUCCUAGUACCCCCUGCUCUACAUCGAUCGCCUGCUCGCGUGCUGCAUGCCCUCGCACCAUGCUCGAAUGGUUUCAGCUUACAGGCAUGAACAAAGCUGUGUUUGUAAUAAUUCCAGGAUAUGGUUUUGGACUACUGAGAACGCCCCAGAGCACCUGGCUCAAUCAUUUGGUUGUGAAUUUGCUUGUAUACCUUUCCGGCUUGGCGGUAUAUAUAUGCUUUACUAUUUGGCAA